rnacentral:rRNA from 1 species
GGAGGGUGCAAGCGUUGUUCGGAAUUACUGGGCGUAAAGCGCGUGCAGGCGGUUGAGCAAGUCAGAUGUGAAAGCCUUCCGCUUAACGGAAGAAGUGCAUUUGAAACUACUCGGCUAGAGUUCGAGAGAGGAGAGUGGAAUUCCCGGUGUAGAGGUGAAAUUCGUAGAUAUCGGGAGGAACACCGGUGGCGAAGGCGGCUCUCUGGCUCGAUACUGACGCUGAGACGCGAAAGCGUGGGGAGCAAACAGGAUUAGAUACCCUGGUAGUCCACGCCGUAAACGAUGGGCACUAGGUGUAGGAGGUAUUGACCCCUUCUGUGCCGAAGCUAACGCAUUAAGUGCCCCGCCUGGGGAGUACGGCCGCAAGGCUA